rnacentral:rRNA from 1 species
GAUGAACGCUGGCGGCGUGCCUAAUACAUGCAAGUCGAGCGAACAGACGAGGAGCUUGCUCCUCUGAUGUUAGCGGCGGACGGGUGAGUAACACGUGGAUAACCUACCUAUAAGACUGGGAUAACUUCGGGAAACCGGAGCUAAUACCGGAUAAUAUAUUGAACCGCAUGGUUCAAUAGUGAAAGACGGUUUUGCUGUCACUUAUAGAUGGAUCCGCGCUGCAUUAGCUAGUUGGUAAGGUAACGGCUUACCAAGGCAACGAUGCAUAGCCGACCUGAGAGGGUGAUCGGCCACACUGGAACUGAGACACGGUCCAGACUCCUACGGGAGGCAGCAGUAGGGAAUCUUCCGCAAUGGGCGAAAGCCUGACGGAGCAACGCCGCGUGAGUGAUGAAGGUCUUCGGAUCGUAAAACUCUGUUAUUAGGGAAGAACAAAUGUGUAAGUAACUGUGCACAUCUUGACGGUACCUAAUCAGAAAGCCACGGCUAACUACGUG